AUUGAACGCUGGCGGCAGGCCUAACACAUGCAAGUCGAGCGGAUGAAGGGAGCUUGCUCCUGGAUUCAGCGGCGGACGGGUGAGUAAUGCCUAGGAAUCUGCCUGGUAGUGGGGGAUAACGUCCGGAAACGGGCGCUAAUACCGCAUACGUCCUGAGGGAGAAAGUGGGGGAUCUUCGGACCUCACGCUAUCAGAUGAGCCUAGGUCGGAUUAGCCAGUUGGUGGGGUAAAGGCCUACCAAGGCGACGAUCCGUAACUGGUCUGAGAGGAUGAUCAGUCACACUGGAACUGAGACACGGUCCAGACUCCUACGGGAGGCAGCAGUGGGGAAUAUUGGACAAUGGGCGAAAGCCUGAUCCAGCCAUGCCGCGUGUGUGGAGAAGGUCUUCGGAUUGUAAAGCACUUUAAGUUGGGAGGAAGGGCAGUAAGUUAAUACCUUGCUGUUUUGACGUUACCAACAGAAUAAGCACCGGCUAACUUCGUG
rnacentral:rRNA from 1 species